rnacentral:rRNA from 1 species
CCUACGAGUGGCUGCAGUAGGGAAUCUUCCACAAUGGGCGAAAGCCUGAUGGAGCAACGCCGCGUGGGUGAAGAAGGUCUUCGGAUCGUAAAACCCUGUUGUUAGAGAAGAAAGUGCGUGAGAGUAACUGUUCACGUUUCGACGGUAUCUAACCAGAAAGCCACGGCUAACUACGUGCCAGCAGCCGCGGUAAUACGUAGGUGGCAAGCGUUAUCCGGAUUUAUUGGGCGUAAAGGGAACGCAGGCGGUCUUUUAAGUCUGAUGUGAAAGGCUUCGGCUUAACCGGAGUAGUGCAUUGGAAACUGGGAGACUUGAGUGCAGAAGAGGAGAGUGGAAUGCCAUGUGUAGCGGUGAAAUGCGUAGAUAUAUGGAAGAACACCAGUGGCGAAAGCGGCUCUCUGGUCUGUAACUGACGCUGAGGUUCGAAAGCGUGGGUAGCAAACAGGAUUAGAUACCCCAGUAGUC